CUCUGUGUCCCUAUAUUACUUGCCUCCUUUUGUAUGCUAUGGUAUUUUGAUUCCUCCUUUAAUUAUCUCCCAAAUGAUGUUCUUUAUGCCUUUCAUGCUGAUGGGAGCUGGCCCUUAUCUCAAAUAUUUAUUAUACAUCAGCCAUUGAAAUUUUGUGGCCUCUUAAAUUCAGAAGCUCUGGAUAUUUUCUAUGCACUUCCAGAUACUCGAGAGCUUAUCGAGAAGAGGACUAAUAUGGGUCUUGAGUGAUCCCAAGGUGAUGUCAUGUUAGGAAGAAGAUGUCUGAAUACCCUCAUUCUCAUAGCGAUUAGAGAAAGAUAAGAAUAAGUUUGGGAUACCAAAAGGUUAUGGAAAAAUGCUUGAAACAUAGACAAGAGAAUUGCUGUAUCAUGCAUAUGGGCCAGAAGUGUUGCAGAGGAAGCAAGAAAAGCAGUUAUGACCCACUGGAAUCAUGGUCGCCUUCCUCCCCAUCAUCACCGACAUUAGCCCUCUCCUCUGAUCUCCCUCAAAAGAUCCCCGAAAAAGAGAAAGAAAUGAAAAGAAAAAGAAGGGAACAAUGAAUAACGGAUUGAGUUUGCAAAAUAACGGAUUGAAUGUGAUUAUGUACAGAAAUUUUUGCUUCACCAUGGAGGUUACCACACAGGUUCUUUAUUCAAAUCAGAUAUGGUCUAAAUCGAUGGAUGGAUGGCGAUAAUCAUUACAUGUCUUAAGAUUUCCUCUUCAAAGAUGUGGUUCAGUGUCAAAUCCUACAUAUGAAUCAGCCAACGUCCUCUUUUUGACUCUGGGGUUUUUGACUAUUUUCUUUCCAAUCUUUUGUAAUCAGUAUGCAUAUAUUGAUAUAGUGUUUCAAACAAAUGUCAGAAUUGUUAACUUCAA